UAAAAAGGCCCCUGAAACCGACGAGUAAUCGUUGUUUGAAAAUGGGGUAUUUUGCUUUUGUUGUCGCCAAUCGCGGGAAAAGAGGACUCUACAGGAAAUAUGGCGCGAGCGCGACGUAAACAAGCCAGCUUUUCUAACAUAUUGUUCCUGAUUGUAUCAUUUUUUUAUAGAAUUCGAGUUUAUUAAUUGGAGCAAAAAAUGGAAUCUAUUAAUGAUGGCGAUGUUGUCACUUGUCAUUGUUGAUCAUGAUUUAGAAAAUGAGGAAACUCAAAUUACUGAUACGCCAGAAAAACCAACAAGAAAAACCUGAAGACUAUAUCUCGUGUGGAAAGUUCAUUCAGUCCAGCUUUGGUUCAUAUAAUGGGCCAUUCCAUUUAAUAUAGGCACCCCCCCCCCCCUAUUGAGGGGUCCCUUCAACCUAUUGAGGGGUCCCUUUAUAGAACCCCCUUGGAUGUGAUUUUUGGAAGUUACCCCAUGGAUAUCUUCAUAUACCCCCUUUAGGAUAUCGUUUUUGGGUAUCACUAAAACACCUAAUUUUUGCUAUUUUUUUGAAAAUUUCUUAAGCUACCCUCUAGGAAAAUUUAAGGUAAAAACCCCCUCCCCCCCCUAGGAUAUCCAGACCCCUCAACAGGGAGGGGGAGGCAGCUUAUAUUAAAUUGAAUGGCCCAUUCAAAGUCCUGGCACAUCAGCGAAGGUAUAAUAAAAACAAUUAUGGUAGACGAAAUUGUACUUAAAACUUUGUUAUUCUUUGUAUUCUAUUCUUUAAAAUAGGGGGGGGGGUGCUCUGGUGCCGACUACCGAGUUGUGUUGGUCAUGUGUGCCGCCCGCCCAUGAACUACUGUAUUUGAAUUGUAAUUGUUGUUCACAGUUCACUAGGGCUAGGGGGGGGGCACCCCCAGUAAAUCCAUCCCUGUUUGUAUAUUCAGUGUAACACCUCUGUGUAACAUUAUUCUGCAGUGUAUAAACAUUAUUCAUGUAUGAUUAUUCAUAUGUCAUCUGUGACUCAAUUUCCAUUUUAGUAAAUGACAUACUUUUUUGUAGUUUCCUAGCAGAAAGAUAAGGCUGACUCCUUCACAGAAGUCACCAGUGAAAAAACAUAAAUGGACCUUUGAGGAAAAUAAAGCUUUGAUCUAGUUAUGGAAAAAUUUUGUCCAUAAUAAAAUAUAAUAACAACAAUUUACAAUAUCCUAGUAAUCUAUGUCACUGUUAUAAUCGUAGGGAUCCAUAAUAAAAUAUGUAGGGAUCCAUAAUAAAAUAAAAUAAAAUCAAUUUACAAUAUACUUCUUGUGUGUGUUGGUGUUAUGUACUCAGGUGAAUA